rnacentral:tRNA from 1 species
AACUUUAAAGCUAUUUAGCGUUUCACUUACACUGAAAAGACAGAAAAAUUUUUAAGAAA